rnacentral:miRNA from 1 species
UUUGAGUGUGUUUGUUAUGAA